rnacentral:snRNA from 1 species
GUACUCUCCUAGACAGCACAUACACUAAAACUGGAAUGAUACAGAGAAGAGCAGCAUGGCCCUUGCAUAAGGAUGACACGCAAAUUUAUGGAUGCACUGACUGAGUUG